GAUGAACGCUGGCGGCGUGCCUAACACAUGCAAGUCGAGCGAACAGACGAGGAGCUUGCUCCUCUGUCGUUAGCGGCGGACGGGUGAGUAACACGUGGAUAACCUACCUAUAAGACUUGGAUAACUUCGGGAAACCGGAGUUCAUACCGGAUAAUAUCUUGAACCGCAUGGUUCAAUAGUGAAAGACGCUUUUGCUGUCACUUAUAGAUGGAUCCGCGCCGCAUUAGCUAGUUGGUAAGGUAACGGCUUACCAAGGCAACGAUGCGUAGCCGACCUGAGAGAGUGAUCGGCCACACCGGAACUGGGACACGGUCCAGACUCCUACGAGAGGCAGCAGUAGCGAAUCUUCGGCAAAGGACGAGAGCCUGACGCAGCAAGGCCGCGUGAGUGAUGAAGGUCUUCGGAUCGUAAGACGCUGUUAUUAGGAAAGAACACUUGUAUAUGUAAGUAUGCACGUCAUGACGGUACCUAAGCAAAAAGCCCCGGCUAACUACGUG
rnacentral:rRNA from 1 species